UCCGGUUUGGCACCGGCAGUCCCCCGAGAGUCCUCAGCGCCUUGCGGCCUGUUAGCAACACGGGGCGGGGGUUGCGCUCGUUGCGGGACUUAACCCAACAUCUCACGACACGAGCUGACGACAGCCAUGCAGCACCUGUCACCGACCAAUUGAAGAGGUCCAUCUCUGGUCCCCCGAUCGGGAAGUCGAGGGCUGGUAAGGUUCUUCGCGUUGCCUCGAAUUAAACCACAUGCUCCACCGCUUGUGCGGGCCCCCGUCAAUUCCUUUGAGUUUCAGUCUUGCGACCGUACUCCCCAGGCGGAAUGCUUAAAGCGUUAGCGACGGCACCCGGGGACUAUAUAACCCCAAACACCAAGCAUUCAUCGUUUAAGGCUAGGACUAC
rnacentral:misc_RNA from 1 species